rnacentral:misc_RNA from 1 species
GAUGAAGAACGCAGCGAAAUGCGAUACGUAAUGUGAAUUGCAGAAUUCAGUGAAUCAUCGAGUCUUUGAACGCACAUUGCGCCCUCUGGUAUUCCGGAGGGCAUGCCUGUCCGAGCGUCAUUGCUGCCCUCAAGCACGGCUUGUGUGUUGGGCCCCGCCCCCCGAUCCCGGGGGGCGGGCCCGAAAGGCAGCGGCGGCACCGCGUCCGGUCAUCGAGCGUAUGGGGCUUUGUCACCCGCUCUGUAGGCCCGGCCGGCGCCUGCCGAUCAACCAAACUUUUUUCCAGGUUGACCUCGGAUCAGGUAGGGAUACCCGCUGAACUUAAGCAUAUCAAUAAGCGGAGGA